AGUCUUCACUUGUGAAAACAAACAGAAAUUAGUAGAAGGGAAGUUCUUCAGAGGAAAGGGAUGGCCGAGAAGCUAGCAGUACUCAUGAAGAUGAUGAAGAUGUGGCACUGAACUUCAUGAGACACCAGAUAGUUCUGCCUGGAAGGAGGCAAUACGAAUAAUGUCUCUCCAGUUAUUACUGAAUUAAUACGAGACAAUUGACCCUUUCUUUCAAAUCAUCCCCAGCAUUUCAAGCUACUCCUGGGUUUUAAUCUACUGCCUUAUCAUCCGUGAGGGCACUGCUACAAUGGAAUUUGUUCUUGAAAGGAGUUGCCCAACAGAGCUUCCAAGAGAUCUUACAGGAAUCGGAGACGUGGGACUACAUCUUGCAUCAGAAAAAGGAUAGACUCCAAAAGUUAUAAGCACCUGUAUAAGACCUCUGGUUGGAAGAGAGCAGGAAGAUGAAGCUGGCACUUCACAGAUUCCACUUUUGGGUGAAGGGGGUGUGAAGGCAUCCAACUUUCUAGGAUAUUAAUGGUGGAGAUUCUGGCACCCGGCUACCCACUUUAAUGUUACAAGCUGAGAUACCUUAAUCCAGCUUCAACAAGAAUGGAGUCCAGCUUCAACAAGAAUGGAGUCCUGGCUGGAGCAGGAAUACCCUGUGCUUUGAGCAAUGGUGUUGCUUUUAUAGCCUCUAGAAUCUGGCCCUCCUGCAGAUUCUUCAGUACCCUUUAAUAUGUUUCUUUUCUACUUAAACUAGCUAGAGUGGAUCCUGUUGUUUGUGCCCAGAAUCCUGA